CUCCUACGGGAGGCAGCAGCAGGGAAUAUUGCACAAUGGGCGAAAGCCUGAUGCAGCGACGCCGCGUGCGGGAUGAAGGCCUUAGGGUUGUAAACCGCUUUCAGGAGGGACGAAAUUGACGGUACCUCCACAAGAAGCCCCGGCCAACUACGUGCCAGCAGCCGCGGUAACACGUAGGGGGCGAGCGUUGUCCGGAUUUAUUGGGCGUAAAGAGCUCGUAGGCGGUUCAACAAGUCGAUCGUGAAAGCCCGAGGCUCAACCUCGGGACGCCGGUCGAAACUGUUGUGACUAGGGUCCGGUAGAGGAGAGUGGAAUUCUCGGUGUAGCGGUGAAAUGCGCAGAUAUCGAGAGGAACACCAGUAGCGAAGGCGGCUCUCUGGGCCGGUACCGACGCUGAGGAGCGAAAGCGUGGGGAGCAAACAGGAUUAGAUACCCUGGUAGUCCACGCCGUAAACGUUGAAUACUAGGUGCUGGGGACUUAUCCACGUCCUCGGUGCCGAAGCUAACGCAUUAAGUAUUCCGCCUGGGGAGUACGGCCGCAAGGCUAAAACUCAAAGGAAUUGACGG
rnacentral:rRNA from 1 species